rnacentral:rRNA from 1 species
AUGGUAGGAUAGAGGCCUACCAUGGUGGUAACGGGUAACGGGGUGUUAGGGCACGACACCGGAGAGGGAGCCUGAGAAACGGCUACCACAUCCAAGGAUGGCAGCAGGCGCGCAAAUUACCCAAUCCCGACACGGGGAGGUAGUGACAAUAAAUAACAAUACGGGGUUCUUUAGGAUCUCGUAAUUGGAAUGAGUACAAUUUAAAUCUCUUAACGAGGAACAAUUGGAGGGCAAGUCUGGUGCCAGCAGCCGCGGUAAUUCCAGCUCCAAUAGCGUAUAUNAAAGUUGUCGCAGUUAAAAAGCUCGUAGUUGAAUUUCGGGGUCAGUUGGUCGGUCGUGCCACUGGUAUGAACUGGUUUUACUGAUUCCUCCCUCUUGAAGAACUGUAAUGCCAUUAAUUUGGUGUUGCAGGGAAUCAGGACUGUUACUUUGAAAAAAUUAGAGUGUUUAAAGCAGGCUUUAGCUUGAAUACAUUAGCAUGGAAUAAUGAAAUAGGACGGUUGAUCCUAUUUUGUUGGUUUCUAGGAUUGACGUAAUGAUUAAUAGGGAUAGUUGGGGGCAUUAGUAUUCAAUUGUCAGAGGUGAAAUUCUUGGAUUUAUUGAAGACUAACUACUGCGAAAGCAUUUGCCAAGGAUGUUUUCAUUAAUCAAGAACGAAAGUUAGGGGAUCGAAGACGAUCAGAUACCGUCGUAGUCUUAACCAUAAACUAUGCCGACUAGGGAUCGGAUGAUGUUAAUUUUUUAAUGACUCAUUCGGCGCCUUACGGGAAACCAAAGUGUUUGGG